rnacentral:rRNA from 1 species
UACGUAGGGGGCUAGCGUUGCUCGGAAUGACUGGGCGUAAAGGGCGCGUAGGCGGUUUGCACAGUCAGGCGUGAAAUUCCUGGGCUUAACCUGGGGGCUGCGCUUGAUACGUGUGGACUGGAGUGCGGAAGAGGGUCGUGGAAUUCCCAGUGUAGAGGUGAAAUUCGUAGAUAUCGGGAGGAACACCGGUGGCGAAGGCGGUUCUCUGGGCCUGUUCUGACGCUGAGGAGCGAAAGCGUGGGGAGCGAACAGG